rnacentral:rRNA from 1 species
GACCUCAGAUCAGGUAGGACUACCCGCUGAACUUAAGCAUAUCAAUAAGCGGAGGAAAAGAAACUAACAAGGAUUCCCCUAGUAGCGGCGAGCGAAGCGGGAUGAGCUCAAAUUUGUAAUCUGGCGUCCCACGGGCGUCCGAGUUGUAAAUUAUAGAAACGUUUUCCGCGCCGGCGCGUCCAAGUCCCCUGGAAUGGGGUAUCAAAGAGGGUGACAAUCCCGUGCUUGACGCGACCACCGGGGCUACUGUGAUACGUUCUCUACGAGUCGAGUUGUUUGGGAAUGCAGCUCUAAACGG